GGUGAUAAAGGGCUAGAGCAGUGAUGGAUGCCGCGUCUUGGGGUUUCGCGACCCUUCCACUCUGCCCAUUGAUCGGAGCUCCAGGUAGGCCGCUUCGCCUCUCUCCCCUCACCGAGACGUCGCCCUACUGGGCGCCACAGCGGCAGCUCGUGAACAACGGCUACCCUCGCAAGGUAAGUUCGUUUAGGUAGGGCUUUUCUUUGCGUUAGGAGUAAGACAGAUUUGGAAAGCGAAGCUGCUUGCAACGAGCUAAGAGGUAUGCUAGAGGCGAUCAAGAAAUCGUGUUGAAACUCGCAACGCUUGAAGGAACUCUCAACGCGAAGGGACACUCACCGACGUGGACAACGCUGUUUGAGUACGAACAAAACUAACGACCAACGAUACUUGGUUUUACGUUGCCAGGUUCGCGUGUGUUUCGAUUUGUUCUAAUUUCUUGUCAUUGAGAAGCCAAGUGACAUGCUGGUGCUGCCCAACGACAAUAGGAACUGAAAAACGCCAUGUCACAGCGUGUGCCAAGAAGAAAACUGCUACUAGAUUGGAGAGAUUUUGUGUCAACGUUUUGGAGAGAUUGUCAGCGCUUUGAGUUGUGUUGUUGCUGCGUUCAACGCAAGACCUGCGAGCUGAGAAACAACGGCGAUCUCAGAACUUCAAUCCAGCUGAAAAUGUACAUGACAAUGGUCCAACCUCAAUGAAAACAACGAUCAUGAUCCGUCGCUGAUCCUUGACAGGCCCGGUCCACUCGCACCUCUCCACCUCGCAGGGUAAGUUCGUUCAGUUUUCUUUGUGUUAGCAAUAAGCGAGUAAGACAACGAAACGAGAG
rnacentral:lncRNA from 1 species